GAUGAACGCUGGCGGCGUGCCUAACACAUGCAAGUCGAACGGAGAUUACGGACGGAAGUUUUCGGAUGGAAGACUGUAAUUCUUAGUGGCGGACGGGUGAGUAACGCGUGGGCAACCUGCCCUAUACAGGGGGAUAGCAGCUGGAAACGGCUGGUAAGACCGCAUAAGUCGGCGAGACCGCAUGGUUUUGCCGGGAAAUGAGCAAUCAGGUAUAGGAUGGGCCCGCGUCCGAUUAGCCAGUUGGCAGGGUAAAAGCCUACCAAAGCAACGAUCGGUAGCCGGACUGAGAGGUCGGACGGCCACAUUGGGACUGAGACACGGCCCAAACUCCUACGGGAGGCAGCAGUGGGGGAUAUUGCACAAUGGAGGGAACUCUGAUGCAGCGACGCCGCGUGAGUGAAGAAGUAUUUCGGUAUGUAAAGCUCUAUCAGCAGGGAAGAUGAUGACGGUACCUGACUAAGAAGCCCCGGCUAACUACGUG
rnacentral:rRNA from 1 species